rnacentral:rRNA from 1 species
GACGAACGCUGGCGGCGUGCCUAAUGCAUGCAAGUCGAGCGCAGGAAACUGACGGAACUCUUCGGAGGGAAGGCAGUGGAAUGAGCGGCGGACGGGUGAGUAACACGUAAGGAACCUGCCUCAAGGAUUGGGAUAACUCCGAGAAAUCGGAGCUAAUACCGGAUAGUUCAUCGGACCGCAUGGUCCGUUGAUGAAAGGCGCUCCGGCGUCACCUUGAGAUGGCCUUGCGGUGCAUUAGCUAGUUGGUGGGGUAACGGCCCACCAAGGCGACGAUGCAUAGCCGACCUGAGAGGGUGAUCGGCCACACUGGGACUGAGACACGGCCCAGACUCCUACGGGAGGCAGCAGUAGGGGAUCUUCCACGAUGGACGAAAGUCUGAUGGGGCAACGCCGCGUGAGUGAUGAAGGUUUUCGGAUCGUAAAACUCUGUUGUAAGGGAAGAACACGUACGAGAGGGAAUGCUCGUACCUUGACGGUACCUUACGAGAAAGCCACGGCUAACUACGUGCCAGCCGCCGCCGUAA